CUUCACUUCCGUUUCGCCGUUUGUCAAAUAUGUAGUGUAGGUAAACGUAAAAGAACACGCUAGCUUUUUGGUUCACAUAAGCUAGCACUAAAUCUUAAAUAAACGACUUUUUUUGUAAGCAACUGAGUAAUCUCUAAUCUAAGAAUCGAAAAUGAAUAUGAUUCCGACGACGACGAAGAGGACGGCGUUCAUGAACUACUUAAUUUUUCCUCAAAAUGGAGUCGUGGAGGGACCGAUGCACUAUGGAUCCGGAGAUUCCUCCCCGCAGAUUGCCGUGGCCUCCUCCAUAGACUCUCACAACGGGAAUGUUGGCUCCAAUGAAACCCCAAAACGGCCGAAGAACCUGGGAGUGAAUGGGUAUGCGUCAAAAAACCUUCGACAAGACAGCGACAGUAUGGAGGAGGGCUCUUUACCGUGCACCCCGGAGCUGCAGUCGGACAGUGAAACCGACGUCUCCAGUUGUCCAGCAGGAGACGAGUUGCUGGAGAAUGACACGAGGCAACUCCUUCGCCGUUUCUUAAGAGACUUUACUGGACUUUCAAAGCCCCGGUGGAAUGAAAGCAAAGCAUUAUCAACAAUGAAAAGAGUUGUGGAUGACGUUUUGGACAAACACAGAUACGCAUACAAUGGUAUGAUCAACAAACUGUCGCUGGAUGACAGAGGGGAUGAUGUGUCGUUUGUCAGUGCAGUAGCCAAGAGCCUCUUUGCAGACAGGACGACCAACUGGGGUCGUAUUACGAGCCUGGUGGCCUUUGGGGCGGUGGUAUGUCAGUACCUGAAGGAGAGGGGCAGGGAGAACUGCGUGGACCUGGUCAGCCAGGAGAUUUCCACAUACCUGCUUUCUGAACAGCGAGACUGGCUGGUCAAAAACAACUCAUGGGAUGGUUUUGUGGAGUUUUUUCGAGUAGCAGACCCUGAGUUGACGGUCAGGAACACACUCAUGGCCUUUGCUGGAUUUGCUGGUAUUGGGGCAACACUGGCCCUGCUGAUCAGGUGAUGUGAUGUGAAGACCAAUGUUCUGCCAAUGGAAUGAAAAUGUUAUCAAGGGGAGAGUGCAUCAGCUCGAUAAACUCGACCGUCACUGUGCAUUUCUACAGUGCCAUCAACUUCUGCAGCUUCCAUCCAUCACCAUCUGAUUGAAUACUGUUAUUAUAUAUAGUGAUAAAACACAAAGAAAGCCUUGACAUUUGAAAGUUAUGACACAAGUUCUGCCCCCUAUUCAUUGCACCUAUUACUUACGUCUGGGCUUUAUGAGAACACAUGCUCUUUAGUAGUUUUCUUUAUUACAUUUUUACUUCAUAGCCAAUUGCUUAACCGCACUGUGAAAGAGUUACUGUACUUCAAUAAUCCUCAGUCCUAUUUAACCAUGCAAAAGUUUUUGUUUUAUCUGCUAAAGCUUUGUCAUCUAUUUCCAUCCAACUGCAAUGGAAAAAAUUGUCAGUUUGUUUUUGGUGCUCACAGGCCUGAAAAUUUGUAUUUAAAACAUUGAAGAGCAACUUGUCUGUCCAGAAGCAGUGUUGUCUGCACACUCUGUAUAACUUACAGACUUUACUGUGAACACUGUUCCCAUGAAACUACUGUCUAGUUGAGAAACAGACCCAACGAAAGUUAACAGCAUUCUUUAUUAACCUGGUUAUUGGUUGUUCACAUUUUUUGGUAGGUUUUGUGGUGCACAAAUGAAAUUCCAUUUAAGUAGCUUUGUUGCAUUUGGGAGGCCGUAGGAGUUUUAAUGUCAUAUAACACUUUCUGCAUAUUCACUUAUUUUCCUCAGAAAACUUUCACAGAACAAUUUGGAAUUUGAUAAACAUACAAAUUUGCAGGUUUUAAAAAUUGAAGCAACUAAUAGCUAUGUGGUGAAUGAAUUAGGUUUAAGGCUUUGUUAAAAAAUGAAAAAAAGAAGAAACAAAAAAAAGAUAAACCUAACAAAGUCAAAAGUGGCAACUCAGAGACUGAAUUCAGAAUAUUAAUUUCGAUGUUCCCGUUUUAAGUUUAUCCUGAUUUUGCUUUAAAAUCAUUUAUAUUUUAUUGUUUGAAAUUAGAGUGUGUGUUACAUUAUUUAUUGCAGUUAUUUAACAGCAGAAAACAAUAAUUUUAUUCUCUAAAUCAGAGUAUCACACCUCUGCGGUCCGUGUACGGAUCUGGUAAUUGGAUUUUCCGUUCUGAAAUGGGUAUUGAAAAACAAAAAACGAGUGGUUAUUUGAUUUUCGUUUUAAAAUACAAAAAUUUAAGUUGAAAUACAAGGCGUUUUUCCUUUUCAUGAUCAAAAAGGGAUAUACGAUUUUUUUUUAAAAAAUGCUUUGAUUUUGGUUUUAUAUUUAGAAUAACAAGAAAGUAAAAUCAGUAAGAGACAGAAACGAAAAAAAGGUCCGUUUUUUCAUUUUCUGAGACCGGAAGUGGUCAUUAGCAAGUGUGGAGCCAAACAGAGUACGGUGCAUAGACUGUAUAUAAUUUUUUUUUCGUUAGUUUUCAUGGUCAAAAUGAGAGAUCAGGUGGCCGAUCUUAAAAUAAAUCAAUAUUGAUUUUUUUUUUACAGAGCGUUAAAGGUUUGCGAAGCCAGGGGGCGGGACUACUUGAUUGACAAUCUGGUCUGGAAUGAUUGACAGGUCCUAUGGAGGAAGCAGCAGAGACUCUGCUCUCCUCGUUUGGAUUAAUUCUGAUAUAAUAACUGUUGGUUUAUUUAUCAGUGGAGCAGCACAACAUUUUCCACAGACAGUUUUCCUGCCCGUUGGCUUGUUUUAACCAGUUUUCUACCUUCGGCUGAUUCUACCAGCAGACACUGAAAGGACUCUGAUAGUUCGGUAAGUAAAUGUUUAUUUUCGUAUCGGUGCCGCUUUUAAUGCACUUUAUAUGCAGCUUUAGUGUCAGAUGUAAUGUGUGCCAUGCACUCCAGAUGUUGGUGGAGUUUGUUUCAGUGUGUGUUGACCAGAGAAGAGAGUUAACAUAGUAAAUAUUAGCUUUAAUGUUAGCGAUGCUAACCGAGCUAGCUGCUCAGUCAUAGUCUGAUUAAAGCUAACGUAGCAUCAAGCUGUUUAUGUUUACAUAAACAGCUGAAGUGUGUUGUGUUCCUGUAAUGUGGUUCAUUAAGUUCAUAAAACUGUGGCUGGUUUACAUUAAUGUAAUGUUCAGGAAACUUAAAUGUGAUUAAAACAGUAACGUUAAUAUUCUAGUUGUCAGUAAUCCGCUUUAAUUUGACACUAAAACAGACUCUGAUAGUUUUAAAUGACAUCAGUUUCAUUAAUUUGUUGAAAAUUGUCUAAUUUGUUGUUAUGAUGUUGCUGCUGAUUCAUUAAAACCAGAUGAUCCAUGUUGAAGAUACGUUUAGUUCUAGUAUCAGAAGUACAAGAAGGAAAAUGUAAGUUUAGUUCUGCUACAUCAAAGAUUUCAGGAUUAAAAUAACUAAAUGAGUCUUUAUGCCUCAAACUUUAUUUUUGCAAUAAAGAAAUAAUGAAAUAAUCACAGAUAAUAAAAAUAUAAAUAGCAGAGAAAACCUGAGAGAAUAUUUUCCUGAAAAGUGUGUGAAGGAAAAGCAGCUUUUUUAUCCUGAAAGAUCAGAAUCAGCUCCAACAUCUGCAUCUGACAGCAUCAAGUCAACCAGAAAGAAAACAAAAAAGAAAAUGACUUCUUUCUGAUCACAUCUGUUCCGCUGCUCACAGUCUGCUGAUGCUCACAUUCUUCACAUUUAUAGUCCAUUUUUAAAAGUUCAGCAGACAGGUGGUCUGCUUUGGAGUGUGACGAUGUCGUCGGUGAUGUGGAGAGUGAAGUUUCCGUUUCACCCACAGCGUGCUUUAUGGCAGCCGGGUCAGACUUGAUGUUUGAAAUACUGACCGACAGCUCAGAUUUAACUGUCUGUAGUUCCGUUUUGAUGGGCGUCACUCAAAGUCGCCAGGAGCUGGGUCUUUAAAAUAACCGCCAUCUCGUUACAGAGUGAAAGUAGCAAUUCCUCCUUAAGGUCAGAGAUUGCAGCAUCUGAGGGCCUCUUCAAAAGAAGACAUAGUUGAUGAAGGUGUUCUGGAGCAGGACCAGAAAGACCACGACCAAGCAGCCUUGAGAUCUUAGGCAGCAUCUCCCUCAGACAUCCACCAACCACUGGAACACAUCUCCAAAGUUCUGCUGGGCCAGCUCAGCUUCCCGUCAGAAGAAGUGCAGCCACCUGCCAGAUGAAGGAGCCUUUUGAGAGGCAGCUGGCAUCGUGAUUGGACUGUACUUUGGUCUGUUCCAAUCCAGCUUCAGUUCCAGAGACGGCAGGCGGGACGAGUCAACGGAGGCCGGGUGGACGAAGGCAUGAAGCUGAGUACAAUCCAGAAAACAACAGAGGAGGAGAGCAGCGGCCAGAACAAACAGAGUAGCAUGGUAUGUCUCUUAGAAAACAUCAUAGUAUAGCCUUUGGGAUGAAAAAACGCCAUCAUAUACAUCGUAUAUUGUACAAAUAACAAGUCAAAGGAAAGAGACAUACAUUGUAGAAUUGUAGUAAUUGUGGGCUGACUGAUUUACUGAUUAUCAGUAUUUUAUUUUUUACUGAUUUAUGGUAAUAAAUACAUUUAAAAAUGGUG